rnacentral:rRNA from 1 species
UCGGGAAUUUUGGGCAAUGGGCGAAAGCCUGACCCAGCAACGCCGCGUGAGGGAUGAAGUAUUUCGGUAUGUAAACCUCGAAAGAAUGGGAAGAAUAAAUGACGGUACCAUUUAUAAGCUCCGGCUAACUACGUGCCAGCAGCCGCGGUCAUACGUAGGGAGCAAGCGUUGUUCGGAUUUACUGGGCGUAAAGGGCGCGUAGGCGGCGCGGUAAGUCACUUGUGAAAUCUCUGAGCUUAACUCAGAACGGCCAAGUGAUACUGCUGUGGUAGAGGGCGGAAGAGGCGACCGGAAUUCUUGGUGUAGCGGUGAAAUGCGUAGAGAUCAAGAGGAACACCUGAGGCGAAGGCGGGUUGCUGGGCCGACACUGACGCUGAUGCGCGAAAGCCAGGGGAGCAAACG